rnacentral:rRNA from 1 species
UACGACUACAUAUCAGGCAUAUCAAUAAGCGGAGGAAAAGAAACUAACUAGGAUUCCCUUAGUAACGGCGAGUGAAGCGGGAAGAGCUCAAAUUUGAAAUCUUCAAGGUUUUACCUUGACGAAUUGUAGUUUAAAGAAGUGUUUUCUGUUGGAGUUUUGGUAAAAGUUCUUUGGAAUAGGACAUCAUAGAGGGUGAGAAUCCCGUAUUUGACCAUUAUUUCAGCUUUGUGAUACACUUUCAAAGAGUCGGAUUGUUUGGGAAUGCAGUCCAAAAUGGGUGGUAAAUUUCAUCUAAAGCUAAAUAUUGGCGAGAGACCGAUAGCGAACAAGUACCGUGAGGGAAAGAUGAAAAGAACUUUGAAAAGAGAGUUAAACAGUACGUGAAAUUGUCAAAAGGGAAGCGUUUGACACCAGUGUUGUUUUCUCGAAAAUCAAUUAAAAAAAGUUGGAUUUUGUGUUGUAUUGACCUUAACAGCUUGCUUCACUCUUUUCCAGCUUUUUUUAAUGCACUUUUCGUUUAACAAGUCAACAUCAGUUUCUCUUGUUGUAAAAGGGUCAUUGGAAGGUGGCUUUCUCUUCGGAGAAAGUGUUUAUAGCCUUUGAUCUCUGCAAUCGGAGAGACUGAGGUCUGCAGCGUAGAUCCUUCGGGGUUAGAUACAUUUGUGCUAAGCUACAGCUUUUCAUAGACAACUUGUUGACUAUGUUUAGUCUUGUGACUUACCCGCUUAUGCUAUUUUACCUACGCUUAGGAUGUUGAGCGCAUGUCUCUCUCU